rnacentral:rRNA from 1 species
UACGUAGGGUGCAAGCGUUAAUCGGAAUUACUGGGCGUAAAGCGUGCGCAGGCGGUGAUGUAAGACAGGUGCGAAAUCCCCGGGCUUAACCUGGGAACUGCAUUUGUGACUGCAUCGCUGGAGUGCGGCAGAGGGGGAUGGAAUUCCGCGUGUAGCAGUGAAAUGCGUAGAUAUGCGGAGGAACGCCGAUGGCGAAGGCAAUCCCCUGGGCCUGCACUGACGCUCAUGCACGAAAGCGUGGGGAGCAAACAGG